rnacentral:rRNA from 1 species
GAUGAACGCUGGCGGCGUGCCUAAUACAUGCAAGUCGAGCGAACAGACGAGGAGCUUGCUCCUCUGACGUUAGCGGCGGACGGGUGAGUAACACGUGGAUAACCUACCUAUAAGACUGGGAUAACUUCGGGAAACCGGAGCUAAUACCGGAUAAUAUAUUGAACCGCAUGGUUCAAUAGUGAAAGACGGUUUUGCUGUCACUUAUAGAUGGAUCCGCGCCGCAUUAGCUAGUUGGUAAGGUAACGGCUUACCAAGGCGACGAUGCGUAGCCGACCUGAGAGGGUGAUCGGCCACACUGGAACUGAGACACGGUCCAGACUCCUACGGGAGGCAGCAGUAGGGAAUCGUCCGCAAUGGGCGAAAGCCUGACGGAGCAACGCCGCGUGAGUGAUGAAGGUCUUCGGAUCGUAAAACUCUGUUAUUAGGGAAGAACAAAUGUGUAAGUAACUAUGCACGUCGUGACGGUACCUAAUCAGAAGGCCACGGCUAACUACG